CCUACGGGAGGCAGCAGUGAGGAAUAUUGGUCAAUGGACGAGAGUCUGAACCAGCCAAGUAGCGUGAAGGAUGACUGCCCUAUGGGUUGUAAACUUCUUUUAUAAAGGAAUAAAACGAGGCAAGUGUGCCUUUUGGCAUGUACUUUAUGAAUAAGGAUCGGCUAACUCCGUGCCAGCAGCCGCGGUAAUACGGAGGAUCCGAGCGUUAUCCGGAUUUUUUGGGUUUAAAGGGAGCGUAGAUGGGUUGUUAAGUCAGUUGUGAAGGGUUGCGGCUCAACCGUAAAAUUGCAAUUGGUACUGGCAGUCUUGAGUACAGUUGAGGUAGGCGGAAUUCGUGGUGUAGCGGUGAAAUGCUUAGAUAUCACGAAGAACCCCGAUUGCGAAGGCAGCUUACUAAACUGUGACUGACAUUGAUGCUCGAAAGUGUGGGUAUCAAACAGGAUUAGAUACCCUGGUAGUC
rnacentral:rRNA from 1 species